AAAGUCAGCAAUGUUUCUUUACGAGCAACUGAGCGGGACAUCACUGAGUUCUUUUCCUUUUCUGGUGAUAUAGAAUAUGUUGAAAUGCAGAGUGACAAUGAGGUGUCUCAAAUUGCCUAUGUUACCUUCAAGGAUUCACAAGGAGCUGAGACUGCUAUUCUUCUCUCGGGAGCUACAAUAGCUGAUAUGUCUGUCAACAUCUCGUUGGCUCCAGAUUACAAGCUGCCUCCUUCUGCUUAUACGCCGUCUCCUG